rnacentral:tRNA from 1 species
GGAGGAUAUAGCUCAGGGGUAGAGUGCGUGCUUAACAUGCACGAGGUCCUGGGUUCAAUUCCCAGUACCUCCA